rnacentral:rRNA from 1 species
AAUUUGAACUUGAGUAUUAGUAGUUAAGGUCUUGAAACUUAAAGAAUUUGGCGGUAUUAUAGUCUAUUUAGAGGAAUCUGUUAUGUAAUCGAUAGUCCACGUUGAACCUUACUUAUAUUAUUUCUUGUAUACCGCUGUUUGAGAAUAUACUUUUAGGUUAUUUUCUUAAUAUAUUAUUAAUUAAAAUUUCAGGUCAAGGUGCAGUAAUAUAUAAGUUGAAUAAUGGAUUACAAUAAAUUUUAUUUAUAUGGAUUGUUAUUGAAAUAUAAUUUGAAGGUGGAUUUAAUUGUAAUUUUUUAAAGAUUAUUAAAAUGAUUAAUAGCUCUAUAAUAUGUACACAUCGCCCGUCGCUCUCGUUAUUAAGAUGAGAUAAGUCGAAACAUAGUAA